GGAGACCGCCGGGAGCCCGACUUCCUGGCGCUUUGCCCGUUGGGGAGCGGAGCCAAGGAACAGCGCCAGCCUCUCUCCACAAGCCAGGGACCCUACAACCCACCGCCGCAGGCCAGAACCAGCAGCUGAUUUAGAUACCAUCAAGACACCUAAAACCUUAUCAUGAGCCAGAUGCUGUGGAAGAGAUUCUGGGAGAAUCCUGAGGACCCCCCAGUUGCAGCCAUGUCAAGACUGAUGCUGAGGAGGACCCCAACUGUCACGAGCAACACCCGUCAAACACAGCCACCUACUUGGGGAAAGAUCAAGAAGCUGUCACAGAUGGUGGAAGAAAACCUGAGGAAAGCGGGACAACCAGUCACAAUGAGUAAUUUAAUGAUAGCUAUGAGAGCGGUGAUCACCAUUGCUGUGAGUAUUCCUUCAGCAAGCGCUGACACAGAGAACAAUUAUACUUAUUGGGCAUAUCUAUCAAUCUUGGCUGGCAAUAAUGCCUGGAUGUAAUCACUCUAUGACCCAGUUACACAUGCUUUCUGAUCUCCAUAUUUACCAUAAUGAAUCUGCUCCUAUAAUUAAGGCAUACCACCCUCAAAAACCUAUUUGUAAACAGAAUUGAACCUGGCCAGAAAAAAUGAAUGUACUUGUUUGGGAAGAUUGCAUUGCAGAACAGGCAGAGGUGCUGCGCAAUGAUUCCUAUAGAAUCAUUAUUGAUCGGUCUCCUAAGGGGAUGUUUAGCUUGAAUUGUACCUCUGAGUCUGUGUGCCAUGGCCACACUAUGUUCAGCUGGUCAGAACAAAACAGUCAGAUGGUAGAAAUGGUAAGAAGUAUGGCAAGAGUUCUUAUUAUCUGGAAACAUGGCGGUAUAGUGGCACCUCAACCUCAAAA
rnacentral:lncRNA from 1 species